rnacentral:rRNA from 1 species
UGAGGAAUAUUGGUCAAUGGGCGCAAGCCUGAACCAGCCAUCCCGCGUGCAGGAAGACGGCGCUAUGCGUUGUAAACUGCUUUUCCAGGGAGAGAAACUUGCGCACGUGUUGCGCAAUUGACGGUACCCUGGGAAUAAGCAUCGGCUAACUCCGUG